ACAGAGCUAGCAGCACCGGCGACGACGACGACGACACCGGCAGUCAAUGUCAGAACGCGAAACGGCGGCGUUGACAACGGAGCUGCUCUAGAACCGCUCUGCCAGCUCGGGAAACUUUCAGCUAAUACGCAAAGUGAACGUGGCUAAUAGUAUAACAAAGAAAAUUAACCGAAUCAAUCAAAGCGUCAAUCAAGCGGAAUAUGCGCACUCACAACAACAACUACAACAGCAAGUGUCUUGGGCAACAGCAACAACAAUAGACGUGAACAAAUCAAAACACGCGCUCAGCAGGUGGCACAGCUCAUUAUCAGCGCGCGGUUGGACUGAAAAAAAUACACGCAAUAAUAUAAAAAAUAUCAAAAAUCCAAACUGGCUGAAACCGCUUUACACUUGAUUUUCUGCUGUAACGCAAAUAAGAACUUUGUAUGCAAAUGCCAAAGCUAGACAUAUCCAAAAACAAUAAAUACACGACCAUAAUAUAUUGCCACAGUUAAUUAAUUCCAGACAGGAAAAAACAACAACAACAACAACAUAAAAGAAGCAAAAAA